rfam:Bombyx mori DNA, contig: Bm_scaf2_contig1876, strain: p50T/Dazao, build 2, whole genome shotgun sequence.
UUAACUCAAUUUUAUAUGGAGUAGGAACGUUUGCCUAAGUUUGCCGUUAGGGGCGCUGUUCCAACUACAUACAAAUUUGAGUUA